rnacentral:lncRNA from 1 species
CAAACUUGAAAACAAUUAUAACUUUUCAUGAAUGUACCACUAAAAUAUAUGAACAAAAAUAAUAUACAUACAUAUACAAUGAGGCAUUUAUAGUUUGGUCUCACUCUGGUCUCCUUGUUCUUCUAGCCAACAUUACAUUACAGGCUCUUUAUAGGGCGUAAUUUAUCUAAGCAGGGGAUGUCCUCUGUUGGUUGGGAGUUUAGGGUGCUGAAAUAAAUUAAAAAACAAAAAAAA